rnacentral:rRNA from 1 species
UACGGAGGGUGCAAGCGUUGUUCGGAAUCACUGGGCGUAAAGGGCGUGUAGGCGGUUAAUCAAGUUAGAUGUGAAAGCCCUGGGCUCAACCCAGGAAGUGCAUCUGAGACUGAUUAACUAGAGUACAGGAGAGGAAGGUGGAAUUCCUGGUGUAGGGGUGAAAUUCGUAGAUAUCGGGAAGAACACCGGUGGCGAAGGCGGCCUUCUGGCCUGAUACUGACGCUGAGACGCGAAAGCGUGGGGAG